rnacentral:rRNA from 1 species
GACGAACGCUGGCGGCGUGCUUAACACAUGCGAGUCGAACGGAAAGGCCUGCUUUCCCUUGUGGAUUGCGGGUACUCGAGUGGCGAACGGGUGAGUAACACGUGAGUGAUCUGCCCCCAACUUGGGUAUAAGCCUGGGAAACUGGGUCUAAUUCCCGAUAGGACUGCAGGGUGGUGCCUGUGGUGGAAAACGAUUUUCUAGUGGUUGGGGAUGAGCUCGCGGCCUAUCAGCUUGUUGGUGGGGUAAUGGCCUACCAAGGCGGCGACGGGUAGCCGGCCUGAGAGGGUGGACGGCCACAUUGGGACUGGGAUACGGCCCAGACUCCUACGGGAGGCAGCAGUGGGGAAUAUUGGCCAAUGGGCGGAAGCCUGAUGCAGCGACGCCGCGUGGGGGAUGACGGUCUUCGGGUUGUAAACUCCUUUCGACCGCGAGGAAGCCACCUGGUUGGAAGGGUGGUGACGGUAGUGGUAGAAGAAGCACCGGCUAACUACGUG